rnacentral:rRNA from 1 species
AACGAACGCUGGCGGCAGGCUUAACACAUGCAAGUCGAGCGCAUCCUUCGGGGUGAGCGGCAGACGGGUGAGUAACGCGUGGGAACGUGCCCUUUGCUACGGAAUAGCUCCGGGAAACUGGAAUUAAUACCGUAUGAGCCCUUUGGGGGAAAGAUUUAUCGGCAAAGGAUCGGCCCGCGUUGGAUUAGCUAGUUGGUGGGGUAAAGGCCUACCAAGGCGACGAUCCAUAGCUGGUCUGAGAGGAUGAUCAGCCACAUUGGGACUGAGACACGGCCCAAACUCCUACGGGAGGCAGCAGUGGGGAAUAUUGGACAAUGGGCGCAAGCCUGAUCCGGCCAUGCCGCGUGAGUGAUGAAGGCCUUAGGGUUGUAAAGCUCUUUCACCGGAGAAGAUAAUGACGGUAUCCGGAGAAGAAGCCCCGGCUAACUUCGUGCCAGCCGCCGCAGUAACAC